UACGUAGGGUGCAAGCGUUAAUCGGAAUUACUGGGCGUAAAGCGUGCGCAGGCGGUGAUGUAAGACAGGUGUGAAAUCCCCGGGCUUAACCUGGGAACUGCAUUUGUGACUGCAUCGCUGGAGUGCGGCAGAGGGGGAUGGAAUUCCGCGUGUAGCAGUGAAAUGCGUAGAUAUGCGGAGGAACACCGAUGGCGAAGGCAAUCCCCUGGCCUGCACUGACGCUCAUGCACGAAGCGUGG
rnacentral:rRNA from 1 species